AUUGAACGCUGGCGGCAGGCCUAACACAUGCAAGUCGAGCGGAUGAAGGGAGCUUGCUCCUGGAUUCAGCGGCGGACGGGUGAGUAAUGCCUAGGAAUCUGCCUGGUAGUGGGGGAUAACGCCCGGAAACGGGCGCUAAUACCGCAUACGUCCUGAGGGAGAAAGUGGGGGAUCUUCGGACCUCACGCUAUCUGAUGAGCCUAGGUCGGAUUAGCUAGUUGGUGGGGUAAAGGCCUACCAAGGCGACGAUCCGUAACUGGUCUGAGAGGAUGAUCAGUCACACUGGAACUGAGACACGGUCCAGACUCCUACGGGAGGCAGCAGUGGGGAAUAUUGGACAAUGGGCGAAAGCCUGAUCCAGCCAUGCCGCGUGUGUGAAGAAGGUCUUCGGAUUGUAAAGCACUUUAAGUUGGGAGGAAGGGCAGUAAGUUAAUACCUUGCUGUUUUGACGUUACCAACAGAAUAAGCACCGGCUAACUUCGUG
rnacentral:rRNA from 1 species